UGUCAUUGCAGGAAUUCUGUCCAUUGUGGUUGCAAACAGACAGAGUCCCAAAGUGGUUGUGGCCUUUAUAUUAGUAAAAUUUGUUACCUUUCUGGCUUCCCUGAUAUUCUCAAUACUGCAUGGUAUAAAUACAUUUGAAGUUGCAGGUACCCUGGGCAUAUUCCCUGCAGAUGUCACAUCUCUCGUCCUCACAGUGUUUGAGUUCAUCAUCCCUCUGCUUUGCUUGUUUUUGGGGAUAAAAUACUACCUUUGAAGUGUGCUGUUCCAGCCUCAGAGUUACAAGAAUAAUCCCAGCAUAUUCUCAAAGACACACGUGGACCCUUGAUAUGAAGAGCUGGUGACUUCUUAAUAAAAGAAAUAGAAACUAUUCAGAAGCAAGUGGUCUUUAUGGUAAUAGAAAAAACAC